UCCUCUCCCAAACUGGAAACACUGGAGGUCGGCAAGUCCCCGGGCAGGAGCGCACGACCGGGCCUCAGCUCCUGGCACCCACCAUUCUGCUGGAGGUCUGUCUGAGUUGGACCCUUCUAGAUCUCUGAUAUCACUUGUUCCAGAGGAAGCCAGCCACCAUGAUGUGAAGACACACAAAGGGCCCUACAAAGAGGACCACAUAGGGACAAUGACUUUCCAGGCAUGUGAGGGAGCCAUGUUGGAAGAGGACCCCAGCCUCCAUCAAGUCUUCAGAUGAAACUGCAGCCCCAGAUGACACCCCAAACCUCAUAAGAGACCCUGAGCCAGAACCAUCCAGCU